UACGUAGGGGGCAAGCGUUGUCCGGAUUUAUUGGGCGUAAAGAGCGUGUAGGCGGUUUGGUAGGUCCGCUGUGAAAACUCGAGCUCAACCUCGAGACGCCGGUGGAAACCAUCAGACUAGAGUCCGGAAGAGGAGAGUGGAAUUCCUGGUGUAGCGGUGAAAUGCGCAGAUAUCAGGAAGAACACCCCGUGGCUAAGGCGGCUCUCUAGUACGGUACUGGACGCUGAGACGCGAAAGCGUGGGGAGCGAACAGG
rnacentral:rRNA from 1 species